rnacentral:rRNA from 1 species
UACGGAGGGUGCAACCGUUACUCGGAAUCAUUGGGCGUAAAGCGCACGUAGGCGGCCGUGUAAGUCGGAUGUGAAAGCCCUGGGCUCAACCCAGGAAGUGCAUUCGAAACUGCACGGCUUGAAUAUGGAAGAGGGUCGCGGAAUUCCCGGUGUAGAGGUGAAAUUCGUAGAUAUCGGGAGGAACACCAGUGGCGAAGGCGGUCUGCUGGGCAGUUUCUGACACUGAGGCGCGACAGCGUGGGGAGCAAACAGG